rnacentral:rRNA from 1 species
CAGUAGCCGCGGGAAUACAGAGGUCCCGAGCGUUGUUCGGAUUCACUGGGCGUAAAGGGUGUGUAGGAGGUUGGAUAAGUCAGGUGUGAAAUCCCGCAGCUCAACUGCGGAACUGCAUUCGAUACUGUUCAACUAGAGGAUCGGAGGGGGAAGCGGAAUUCUUGGUGUAGCGGUGAAAUGCGUAGAUAUCAAGAGGAACACCGGUGGCGAAGGCGGCUUCCUGGAAGAUACCUGACUCUGAAACACGAAAGCCAGGGGAGCGAAUGGGAUUAGAGACCCCAGUAGUCCCUGUCUCUUAUAA